rnacentral:rRNA from 1 species
UACGUAGGGUGCGAGCGUUGUCCGGAAUUACUGGGCGUAAAGAGCUCGUAGGUGGUUUGUCGCGUUGUUCGUGAAAACUCACAACUCAAUUGUGGGCGUGCGGGCGAUACGGGCAGACUGGAGUACUGCAGGGGAGACUGGAAUUCCUGGUGUAGCGGUGGAAUGCGCAGAUAUCAAGUGGAACACCAGUGGCGAAGGCGAGUCCCUGGACAACACCUGACACUGAGGCACGAAAGCUAGGGGAGCAAACAGG